GAUGAACGCUGGCGGCGUGCCUAAUACAUGCAAGUCGAGCGAACGGACGAGAAGCUUGCUUCUCUGAUGUUAGCGGCGGACGGGUGAGUAACACGUGGAUAACCUACCUAUAAGACUGGGAUAACUUCGGGAAACCGGAGCUAAUACCGGAUAAUAUUUUGAACCGCAUGGUUCAAAAGUGAAAGACGGUCUUGCUGUCACUUAUAGAUGGAUCCGCGCUGCAUUAGCUAGUUGGUAAGGUAACGGCUUACCAAGGCAACGAUGCAUAGCCGACCUGAGAGGGUGAUCGGCCACACUGAAACUGAGACACGGUCCAGACUCCUACGGGAGGCAGCAGUAGGGAAUCUUCCGCAAUGGGCGAAAGCCUGACGGAGCAACGCCGCGUGAGUGAUGAAGGUCUUCGGAUCGUAAAACUCUGUUAUUAGGGAAGAACAUAUGUGUAAGUAACUGUGCACAUCUUGACGGUACCUAAUCAGAAAGCCACGGCUAACUACG
rnacentral:rRNA from 1 species